AUCGAUACCAUUCUAUUAAAUGUGUAUAAAUAAGUUAUAAAAUUAAAAUAACAAGUUUUUCUUCGACCUCACGUUCACUGCGUAAUAAACUAUGAUAUGACACGAAACUAAGAUGGUUACUAUUCAAAUCUCACUUGAUAUGGGAUGAGUGAUAUUUGGUUUAUAGAUACCAGAUUAUGUAACGCGCGCAGGAAUAUUAGGAAUCAUCAUAUUUAAAUCAGAAUAUCAAAAUACAUUGGAUUAUCACACAAAACAGAAACUUAUAUAAAAGUGUAACUAUCGUCAAACCGUUCCAGUGAAAUAAAUUCAGAUUGCUAAUAUAGAGAUUAUCUACGAAGUUUUACUAUAAUUAGACUUUUUAAUAAUUUAAACAUAACAUCAAGUAUAAUUAACGAU